rnacentral:lncRNA from 1 species
CUCCCCCCCAUCAAUGGGGGGAGUCCUUUUCUACAGUCCUCGAGCCUGGAGUGGCCACAUGGCUUGCACUGGGCAAUCAGAUUUUAGCAAAUUCGGUGUGUGUUAUGGCUUGUUCCUUGGCUGUUCUUGGAAUUACGCCAUCACCUGCACAAGACUGGACUAGCCAGCCAGACGGUGAGGGACACGCGGUCCAGCCAACAGCCAGCUGAUCCCAAGAAGCAGAACUAAACAAUAAUUAAGGGCUCAUCAGGUGUGCAGGAGUAAGCCCGACUAAGCCCAGCCCGAGUCAUCAAUCACAGGACCCUGAGCAAAUAAACAGGUGUUGUCUUAAGCAACUAAGUUUUGGUGCAGUAGGUCACGCAGCGAAAGCUGACUGAUGCAAGUUCCUACUGUGUGCCGUAGUCUUCCAGCCCCUGAAAAAUACAGAAGUGAAUAGAGCACACAAGAAAACACCUGCCAUCAAGGGGCUUGGAUACCAGUGUAGUACAUAAACUUCCAUUCAAGAAAAACUCUGGUCUGGCAGGUGAAAACUUGUGUGCUGAGGUUGAACACUGCAAGGCUGAUACCCAUGGAGAUAUGGGGCUGGAAGAGAGAAGGUUGAAGAGACUGGGCGGGGGGUCCUUUGGGAGACGGAGCUGAGCUGACCUCUGCCCAGUGACCUCUGCCCAGCAGGAUGGCUCUCACUGAAGCCAGGAGAGACUUCCCCUCGAGGCAGGAGAAGCCCAAUGCCCAGCGAGUGGAAGGCCAUGGGGCCAAACUUGUCCUCCCCUGAACCUGAGCCGUGUGGGGGCGGGAUGGAUGGACAGGCUGGGUCAAUACCUGGAUUCAUUGGCAACAAAGAAGGAUGGGCGGAUGGUCAGGGACAAGGAGACGUGUCUGCAGCAACUUCCAUCUGAACAUCCACUCCAGGGUUCAGCUCCAUCAGAAGCUCUAUCAGAAUAUGAGGAGGUGACGCUGGCCUUAUGGCAGCCCCCACACACCAAGAAGUCAGCCACAUUCCAGGGCAAACCUCACUCCAGGAG